CAGAGAUGCCAUGGGCGGUUCUGAACAGGGAAAUUCUGGGGGGCACCAGGCUCUGUGCAAGGUACAAAUGGAUCUUCUUUUCUUUUUGAAGCUAUAAAGCUGAAAGAUGUUCAUUAAUGUCAAUGAAAUUGAAACCAAGGAUUGACAACAAAGACUGAAAUCAAUAAAAAUAUGCUAAGACACUUCUCGGCUUCUAAUAUUCUCUCCAGUCCUCUCCCUUUUUAGGUUGAAAAUGCUGCUCUUUGAAGGAAUUUGGUGUCCUUUUCUUUUUCUUUUUCUCAUUUUUCUUAAGGAGAUGUUAUCCAGAACGGUGUUUGCAGGACACAAGUGCCUCCAGGUACAGGGACACAGACAGUGGUGCCAGUGGCUGUGCCCUGUGAUGGGUGGAAAUCAAACUCUGUAACCACAGAGUAGUUAUAAAGCAGGUAUGUUUAAUCAGCGCUGCGCACACACCAGAUCUCCCCCAGUGCCCCCCACCUACCCUGCAUACCGGAGGGCAAGAAAGGCACAUACUUAAAGAAGCUACUGCUUACACAUGCAUUAGAUUUCCAAGAAAAUGUUGGGUUAGUACAGCGAGACCCCAAAAUGAUUGACAUUUAUCCCUGCCCCACGCCUCAGCUCUAUGACACAUGCAUAUCUUUUGGUGGUUCGUUGGUGGACUUUUGGAUGAAGGCUGAGGUCUUAUUUUCCUUUGACAUGGGUCAGGUUGGAGUCUCUUGGCUGGCUCUGGUUGGUCAUCUUAUUGUCUACAACAAGCAAACAAGUGUGAGUAAAGCCCGGGGUAAAGUGUGAGUAAAAUCCGGAGUAAGGUGUAUCUAAACCCAGAGUGAAGUGUGUGUAAAUCUGGAAUAAAGUGUGUGUAAAACCUGAGUAAAGGCUGAGUAAACCUGGAGUAAAGGGUGAGUAAAACUAGAAAAAAGUGUGACUAGACCCAAAGUAAAGGGUGUGUAAGCCCGGAGUAAAUAGUGAGUAAAGCUGUAGUAAUUUCUGAGUAAACACAAAGUAAAGUUGUGAGUAAAACAAAUGGUGUACAUUGUUAGGAAACACGGAGUAAAGUGUGAGUAAACCCAGAGAAAAGUAUGAGUACACCUGGGCAGCAGUCUGAGUAAACCCAGAUUAAAGGGUUGGUAAAGGUAGAGUAAAGUGUGAAAAAUACCCAGAGUAAGGUGUGACUAAACCCAAAGAAAAUUGUGAGUAAACCCAGAGUUAGGAUGCGUAACCAUGAAGUAAAGAGUGAGUAAACCUGGAGUAGAGGGUGAACAAAGCUUGGAGAAAACUGUGAGGAAACAUGGAGUAAAAUAUGUGUAAAACCUUGUGUUGAAUGUGUGUAAAACCUGAUGUAAAAUGUGAGUAAAGCUAGAGAAAAGUGUGAGUAAACCCAAAGUAAAGGGUGUGUAAGCCCGGAGUAAAUAGUGUGGAAACCUGGUGUAAAUUGUGAGUAAACCCAAAGUAAACAUAUGAGUUAAACCUGGCAUACAUUGUUAGGAAACCCGGUGUAAAGUGUGAGUAAAGUGAGAGUACAGUGAGAGUAAACUGAGAGAAAACUAGAGUACACCUGGAUUGAAGUGUGAGUAAGCCCGGAGUAAAGGGUUAGUAAAGCUAGAGUAAAGUGUGAGUAAUACCCAGAGUAAGGUGUGACUAAACCCAAAGUAAAGUGUGAGUAAACCUGGAGUAAAGAGUGCGUAACCAUGAAGUAAAGAGUGAGUAAACCAGGAGUAGAGGGUGACCAAAGCUUGGAGAAAACAUGGAGUAAAAUAUGUGUAAACCGUGGUGUAGAAUGUGAGUAAAACCUGAUGUAAAGUGUGAGUAAAGCUUGAGAAAAGUGUGAGAAAACCCAAAGUAAAGGGUGUGUAAGCCCGGAGUAAAUAGCGAGUAAAGCUGGAGUAAAUUGUGAGUAAACCCAAAGAAAACUUGAGGGUAAAACCUGGAGCAUAUUGUUAGGAACCCCGGAGUAAAUUGUGAUUAAAGCCCUGAGUAAAGUGAGAGUAAACCCAGAGAAAAGUAUGAGUAAACCUGUAGUGAAGUGUGUGUAAGCCCGGAGUAAAGGGUUAGUAAAGCUUGAAUAAAGCGUGAGUAAUACCCGGAGUACGGUGUGACUAAACCCAAAGAAAAUUGUGAGAAAACCCAGAGUAAAGUGUGCGUAACCAUGAAGUAAAGAGUGAGUAAACCUGGAGUAAAGAGUGAACAAAGCUUGGAGAAAGCUGUGAGGAAACAUGGAGUAAAAUAUGUGUAAACCCUGGUGUAGAAUGUGAGCAAAACCUGAUGUAAACUGUGAGUAAAGCUAGAGAAAAGUGUGAGUAAACCCAAAGUAAAGGGUGUGUAAGCCCGGAGUAAAUAAUGAGGAAACCUGGUGCAAAUUGUGAGUAAACCCAAAGUAACCUUGAUGGUAAAACCUAAAGCAUAUUGUUAGGAACCCCGGAGUAAAUUGUGAGUAAAGCCCUGAGUAAAGUGACAGUAAACCCAGAGAAAAGUGUGAGUAAACCGUUGCUACUGCAAAGCCGGUGGGCCCUCGGUGCGCAGGGACACUGCUCUCCCCCCAUCCACCCAGCCUGCCAUCAUAGAAGGCUACCAGGUUGCUCAAGCACUACUACCUCUUGGUGAAGCCAUGCUGACUCCUCCUCCUAUCCUUCUUCUCUCCCAAUUGCUUGGAGAUGGCAUCCACAACAGGCUGUUCCAUCACCUUCCUAGGGACAGAGGUGAGACUGACUGGCCUGGAGUUUCCCACAUCCUCCUCCUCGCCAUUUCUGAAGACUGGACUGACAUUGGCUAUCCUCCAGUCUUUGGGCACCUCUCCUAAUCUCCUAGGCCUGUCAAAGAUGAUAGAGAGUGGUUCAGCAGUCACCUCUGCCAGCUCCCUCAGCACACGUGGAUGCAUCCCAUCUGGACCCAUGGAUGUGUGCACACUGAUCCCAC
ensembl:lncRNA